CAGCCGCCACGGUAAUACGUAGGUGGCAAGCGUUGUCCGGAAUUAUUGGGCGUGAAGGGCUCGCAGGCGGUUUCUUAAGUCUGAUGUGAAAGCCCCCGGCUCAACCGGGGAGGGUCAUUGGAAACUGGGAAACUUGAGUGCAGAAGAGGAGAGUGGAAUUCCACGUGUAGCGGUGAAAUGCGUAGAGAUGUGGAGGAACACCAGUGGCGAAGGCGACUCUCUGGUCUGUAACUGACGCUGAGGAGCGAAAGCGUGGGGAGCGAACAGGAUUAGAUACCCCCGUAGUCCCUGUCUCUUAUAC
rnacentral:rRNA from 1 species